rnacentral:rRNA from 1 species
CAGCAGCCGCGGUAAUACGAAGGGUGCAAGCGUUAAUCGGAAUUACUGGGCGUAAAGCGUGCGUAGGCGGUGAGUUAAGUCUGCUGUGAAAUCCCCGGGCUCAACCUGGGAACUGCAUUUGUGACUGUAUAGCUAGAGUACGGCAGAGGGGGAUGGAAUUCCGCGUGUAGCAGUGAAAUGCGUAGAUAUGCGGAGGAACACCGAUGGCGAAGGCAAUCCCCUGGGCCUGUACUGACGCUCAUGCACGAAAGCGUGGGGAGCAAACAGGAUUAGAUACCCGUGUAGUCCCUGUCUCUUAUAC